AUUUCUCAAGCUUGAGGUGGUGCUUCUUGCCUACCCUCAGUCUCUGGUACUGGGCUUUGCUGUGUUCAUUGUCUGAAACAGCUGGCCUUAAAAUCAUCAGCUGGUUCAUUUAUGAAGCGCCGGUUCUACUCAGUGUGAUAAUAAUUUGAUCACUGAGGACAUCUUUUGGGAUGGCCAGUGCUCACAUGGGCUGUUUCUAACGUUGACCGCAAAUUCAUUUAAUUUGUGCUGUCUAUAGUUGA
rnacentral:misc_RNA from 1 species